CAGGGCAUCGUUGUCAUCAACCAACCUCUGGUGCCCCAGCUGCUGGUCCAGGUGCGGAUAGAUUUCCUAAACCGACAGUGGACAUCUUCCCUUGUCCUGGGAGUCAUCACCUGCGCGCCUGAGAGGCUCAACUUCCCUGCUUCUGCCUGUGCCCUCAAACGGGCAGCCUGGCUGCUGCGGGGCCGUGGGGUCUUCCACAACGGUCUCAAGAUCUGCGAGAAGUUUGGGCCGAAUCUGGACACGUGCCCUGAAGGCACCAUCCUGGGACUGCGGCUGGACAGCUCUGGGGGGCUGCAUCUCCACGUUAAUGGGGUGGACCAGGGGGUAGCUGUGCCAGAUGUGCCCCAGCCCUGCCACGCGCUUGUGGACCUCUAUGGGCAGUGUGAGCAGGUGAGUGGCAGUGGGGGCAGGGAGGAGGGGUGCCUGAGAGUCUGGGCCGUCCAGGACAGGGGAAAUCUCUGUUCCAGGGAGGAAUCAGCAGGCCCUGGGGUGUGAGCAAGCUCUGUCUGACCGCCCUCUCCCCUGCAGGUGACAAUCGUGAACCCUGAGCCAGGGGCUGCCAAUGGGAAAAGUGCUGGAACCCAAGGGGACAUGGAGAAAGCAGACAUGGUGGACG
rnacentral:sRNA from 1 species